GAGUUUGAUCCUGGCUCAGGAUGAACGCUGGCGGCGUGCCUAAUACAUGCAAGUCGAGCGAACGGACGAGAAGCUUGCUUCUCUGAUGUUAGCGGCGGACGGGUGAGUAACACGUGGAUAACCUACCUAUAAGACUGGGAUAACUUCGGGAAACCGGAGCUAAUACCGGAUAAUAUUUUGAACCGCAUGGUUCAAAAGUGAAAGACGGUCUUGCUGUCACUUAUAGAUGGAUCCGCGCUGCAUUAGCUAGUUGGUAAGGUAACGGCUUACCAAGGCAACGAUGCAUAGCCGACCUGAGAGGGUGAUCGGCCACACUGGAACUGAGACACGGUCCAGACUCCUACGGGAGGCAGCAGUAGGGAAUCUUCCGCAAUGGGCGAAAGCCUGACGGAGCAACGCCGCGUGAGUGAUGAAGGUCUUCGGAUCGUAAAACUCUGUUAUUAGGGAAGAACAUAUGUGUAAGUAACUGUGCACAUCUUGACGGUACCUAAUCAGAAAGCCACGGCUAACUACGUGCCAGCAGCCGCGGUAAUACGUAGGUGGCAAGCGUUAUCCGGAAUUAUUGGGCGUAAAGCGCGCGUAGGCGGUUUUUUAAGUCUGAUGUGAAAGCCCACGGCUCAACCGUGGAGGGUCAUUGGAAACUGGAAAACUUGAGUGCAGAAGAGGAAAGUGGAAUUCCAUGUGUAGCGGUGAAAUGCGCAGAGAUAUGGAGGAACACCAGUGGCGAAGGCGACUUUCUGGUCUGUAACUGACGCUGAUGUGCGAAAGACGUGGGGAUCAAACAGGAUUAGAUACCCUGGUAGUCCACGCCGUAAACGAUGAGUGCUAAGUGUUAGGGGGUUUCCGCCCCUUAGUGCUGCAGCUAACGCAUUAAGCACUCCGCCUGGGGAGUACGACCGCAAGGUUGAAACUCAAAGGAAUUGACGGGGACCCGCACAAGCGGUGGAGCAUGUGGUUUAAUUCGAAGCAACGCGAAGAACCUUACCAAAUCUUGACAUCCUUUGACAACUCUAGAGAUAGAGCCUUCCCCUUCGGGGGACAAAGUGACAGGUGGUGCAUGGUUGUCGUCAGCUCGUGUCGUGAGAUGUUGGGUUAAGUCCCGCAACGAGCGCAACCCUUAAGCUUAGUUGCCAUCAUUAAGUUGGGCACUCUAAGUUGACUGCCGGUGACAAACCGGAGGAAGGUGGGGAUGACGUCAAAUCAUCAUGCCCCUUAUGAUUUGGGCUACACACGUGCUACAAUGGACAAUACAAAGGGCAGCGAAACCGCGAGGUCAAGCAAAUCCCAUAAAGUUGUUCUCAGUUCGGAUUGUAGUCUGCAACUCGACUACAUGAAGCUGGAAUCGCUAGUAAUCGUAGAUCAGCAUGCUACGGUGAAUACGUUCCCGGGUCUUGUACACACCGCCCGUCACACCACGAGAGUUUGUAACACCCGAAGCCGGUGGAGUAACCUUUUAGGAGCUAGCCGUCGAAGGUGGGACAAAUGAUUGGGGUGAAGUCGUAACAAGGUAGCCGUAUCGGAAGGUGCGGCUGGAUCACC
rnacentral:rRNA from 1 species